GUGCAGCAGCCGCGGUAAUACGGAGGGUGCAAGCGUUAAUCGGAUUCAUUGGGCGUAAAGGGCGCGUAGGCGGAAAUUUAAGUCAGACGUGAAAGACCAAAGCUCAACUUUGGAAACGCGUUUGAAACUGGAUUUCUCGAGGAUAGGCGGAGGAAGCGGAAUUCCACAUGUAGCGGUGAAAUGCGUAGAUAUGUGGAAGAACACCGGUGGCGAAGGCGGCUUUCUAGCUUAUUUCUGACGCUGAGGCACGAGAGCGUGGGGAGCAAACAGGAUUAGAUA
rnacentral:rRNA from 1 species